rnacentral:pre_miRNA from 1 species
AGUCCUGGAGGAUUUCAUGCAGUCAGGCUACUGGCUACAGUCCAGCUCCUAGCUGGAUUUAGCCAAAGUCUGACUGUAAACAACCAAAG